GCCUCUGUGGUGGAACUGGUAGACACGCUACGUUUAGGCCGUAGUCUGAAGUAAUAGUAGGGUGCAGGUUCGAGUCCUGUCAGAGGUA
rnacentral:tRNA from 1 species